AUCGAGAUGGAAUCAAAAAAGGCCAACUACAGUGAUACCUGCCACCACAUUGAUGGGUUGCUAAGCAACCUAGAGGAUGGGAGGAGUAAACUAGAUGACUUAUGGGCCACAAGAAGGCUUAAACUAGAACUGUGUUUGCAGCUCAGGCAUUUUGAAAGAGAUGCAUUAGAGUUACUAAGUCAGCUGCCAAUUUGGACGCAAGAGAUGCACAAUAGGGAUUUCAGCUUUGAUCUGGAUGCAGCAGAUUUCAUUCUAAAGAGUCAUUUAGAGCUUGUAGAAAGUAUUCAAGAAAACACUGUUCAACUCAUUCAAAAGGGCAGAGACCUGGUCCAGCUCUUUGACUCGGCUGGGAAGGUCUCCAUGAAAACGGGCUCCAUCCCGGCCCAGACCCGAAUCACGGUGCUCCUGGACGACAUCCGAGAUGCCUACCUGGAGCUGGAGGAUGUGUCAGAGAGUAGGAGGAUCCAGCUGGAGCAGUGCAGGGACCUCAGGCAGUUUGAGGUCGACGCUGAACAGGUUGAGACCUGGAUCCACACUGCUGAGAAGAUGCUGGCCGUAGCUGCUAUACCAAACUCACUCAAUGAGGCAGAGCAACUACAGGCAGAACAUCAGCAAUUUGAACUCGCUAUCGAGAAAACACAAGAAAGUGCAAUACGUCUUCACGACACUGCCUUCAAGCUCUUAGAAUCAAGACACUAUGAUUCUGAGAGGAUACAAGGAAUUGCCUCUAGUAUCGAGAGGAGAUGGCAGGCCCUUGUCAUGCAAUCAGAAGAUAGGAGGAAACUCUUCCAGUAUGCUGCCAGCUUUUACAAGACUUCAGAUAAGGUGCAAUCAGUGUUAGAAGAUCUCGAGAGGGAGUACACUCGGGAGGAGGACCUCUGCGGUGGGGGUAGCGGGGACCGUUCCCCUCCUCAGGUCAGUGAUGCCGACAUCGCCAAACACAUGAGCAGGCAUCAAGACCAGAAGGAAAGCUUCUUGAGGGCGUGUACCAUGGCCAGGCGCAACGCAGAAAGUUUCCUCAAGUACCUAAAAAAGUGCAAUGUUUACUCAAGCCAACAGGGCUCUAGUAUGGCCGACAGGACGAGAGGGCCUGAAGGUUAUGUCAAAAGAAUACUAGAAGAAUUACUGUUACAAGAAGACAAGGUGUUAGACCAUUGGACUCAGAAGAAGAAGCGAUUGGACCAAUGCUUGCAAUAUGUCCUGUUUGAAGCUAGUGCUAGACAGGCUUUAAAUUGGAUCCAUGAUACGGGAGAGUUCUAUCUGUCAACCCAUACCAAGCUAGGGGAGGAUAAGGAGGAGACAGAGGGACUACUCACUGAGUACAAUGAAUUCAAGAGUGCUGCUAAGGAAAAUGGUGAGAAGGUCAAGUUAUUACUACGACUGGCUGACAGUCAGCUUGAGAAGGGUCAAUCUCACGCCUCCCGGAUCAAGUCAUGGGUCAGUGCAGUGGACAAGAGGUAUAGAGACUUCUCACUACGAAUGGACAAAUACAGGGCUCAACUGGAAGGCAAGCUGGGUCUAAGUCAUGAGGAUGAUGGAAAUCUCUCAUUAGACAAUCGGAAAUCAGACUCUAGUCUGGAAGUAAAGUUAAGAGAUGUUGCCAAGGGUGUGGGUGAGGAGAAGAGAAAAUCAGCAAGGAAAAGAGAGUUCAUCAUGGCUGAGUUACUACAAACAGAGCAGGCUUAUGUUAGAGAUCUUCACUGCUGUCUCACGAACUACAUGUGUGAAAUGAUGGCAUCAGUAGGAGAGGUACCAGGUGGCAUCAUUGGAAAGGAAAAUAUCAUUUUUGGGAAUAUCGAGGAAAUUUAUGCCUUUCAUAAAGACAUUUUCUUAAAGGAACUAGAGAAAUAUGAAGCAAUGCCCGAAGAUGUCGGCCAUUGCUUCGUCACAUGGGCCGACAAAUUCCAGAUGUAUGUAACCUACUGCAAGAACAAACCAGAUUCAAAUGCCUUAUUAGUUGAACACGGAGGAGCUUUCUUUGAUGAGAUGCAAAAGAAGCACAACCUUGGUCUCUCAGUUCAAGCUUAUAUAAUCAAGCCAGUACAAAGAAUAACUAAAUAUCAGUUGCUGCUCAAGGAUCUUCUUGCUACUUGCGAGGAAGGAAAAGGAGAAAUCCAGGAUGCACUUGACGUGAUGUUAACAGUACCAAAGAAAGCUAAUGAUGCAAUGCACGUCAGCAUGUUAGAAGGAUUUGACGACUAUCUACAAGCUCAUGGGGAAGUGAUCCUCCAGGAUUCUUUCCAGGUCUGGGACACUAAACAGAUAUUCAGGAAAGGUCGUGAGAGGCACAUCUUCCUCUUUGAGAUGUUUCUCGUCUUCAGCAAGGAAACCAAGGACAGUACUGGAAAGACCAAAUAUGUUUACAAGAGCAAGAUGGAUACUUCUGAUCUUGGCAUAACAGAACACAUAGAGGGUGACCAUUGUAAGUUUGCUCUAUGGACGGGUAGAACGCCAUCUUCAGACAAUAGAAUAGUACUCAAGGCUCAGAAUAUGGACAACAAGCAGGAAUGGAUCAGGAAACUGAGAGAAGUCAUACAGGAUAGGCAGAUCCACCUUAGAGCAGCUCUUAUUGAUACAGUAAAGUUCUCAAAAUCGUCCUUCACCCAAAGUGCCCCAUCCACCUCUGGUAGUCUCAGUCAGAAAUCCAGCAGGAGUUAUAAUUCGGAAGAAAGUCUGAAUGAUGAAUCUUUGCUGGAACGAUAUGACAGGAACUCCAUAACCUCAGUAUCAACAAACAACACCAAUUAUACAGAUAACAGUGAUAAGGUAAGCUGAUGAUGAUUGGAUGCUAUAGUUUGACUGGCUUUGGGUGAUUUCAAGUUCAGUGUUUAAAGUCGGUGUUCAUGUCCAGGUACAACUAGAACCAGGCACAUGAAUCUUGUUUGGUGUUUGGACAUUGCUAGUACCAUCCACAACAUCAAUUCUAAAAUGAAGUUAGUGCUGGUGUUUAGAAUUGCUAGCAUCAGCCACAACACCAAACAAAAAAGAAGAAAAAACAAAAGCAUUAAAUUAAGAUUUGCGUUGGUGUUGAGACACUGCUAGCACCAGCUGCUACACCAAACCUUAAAUGAAGAUGGUGUUUGUGUUCGACAUUGCUAGCACCAAUAUGCUACACCAAACCCAAACCUAAAUUGAAGCUGGUAUUGGUGAUGGAGUUGGGACAUUGCUAGCACCAUCUCCAACACCAAACCUAAAUUGAAGCUGGUAUUGGUGUUGGUGUUGGGACAUUGCUAGCACCAGCCAAUUCACCACACCUAAAAUGAAACUGAUGCUGAGGAUUUGUGUUAAUGAGUGUUGAGUUAACCAAUUGAGUUAAAAAUUUCCUCUUGUCAGUUUGAAGAUAAAUCUUGAUCAAGGAAGAAUGCCGUAGCAUGAAGAAGAUUAUGAUGUAUGAGUAUUUGGUAACUGAUUAUUAAGAAUGUCAUCUGAAGAUUGAUUGGCCUGCUUAAUACUACUGAGAAAAAAUAAUAAUGAAAUAAGAAAAAGAAUAAAUAAUGGUCAUUUAAAUUGUUUUAAUUGGAUUGAUGUCCAGAACAGAUGUAUGAUUCUCUAACUGAUUGGAAUGAUGAUGAAUGUAUAUGUGAUGAUUAGCUGGUAGAUUAAACAUGAUGUAUCCAGCACAAAACCAUAGCAUGAGGUUGAUAGCAUGAUAAUGCUAACUAUUUCAGGGAAACUAGGUUGAACAGCUAUAAUAAAUCAGAAGCUUAAUGAGGUUAAUUAAGGUUAUUAAUCUUUUAUUUUUAUAUUCAUUGAUGAAUGUGGGUGCUGAGUGGAAGGCUGCAUUGUACCUAAAGUUGUCAUCAAAUUUAAGUGAUGUCAUUAGCACUGGUGGGGGCACUUAGGGGGGUGGUUUGCUUGUAAAAUUUUUCCUCGGAAAAAUGUGCCCCCCGUUUUGGAAAAUCUAAUUCAUAACAAAGAGAAAGAUGGAAAAGAUAAUUAGCAAAUGAAAAAUAGUUAAAUAAAUACUGCUGACACUGCAAGUCUCCGAGUGUAUAUAUCAUGCUUGGUAUUGAAAAAAAAUAUAUAAAAGACAUGCACGCAUUACCAUGCGAGUUUCCAUCCUUUCCAUGAAGUUACACACGCAAAUGUGCUUUAUUCAAGUGAAUAUCAUUUUAUAAAAUAUACAUGUGAUCAGUUAUCCCUUUAUUAGCUUCUUCAUUAUGAAGAUUAUAGCAUUCUUAAGUUUGGAAUUGAAUUGUUUGACUACUCUUUUUUGCAUCAACAUAAUGUCUGAAUGUAGAGACUAGAAGUUUUCUACACAAGUACACACUUGACUGUUUUUUAACCUUGUCUACAACACUUCUAAGAACCCUUAAUGAACUACAAAACACUGCAUGUGAAUGCAAUUGGUUCUUACUUCAACUACAGACAAGACAAUCUACAUGCUAGACUCUUGUUAUUUAGUUUGAUAUUAUGAGCUCUUUGUAUUGGUGAUGCCAUGGGGAUGUGGGAUGUUGGGCACCCACCCUUAUGAUUUUUAAAGUAAUGGGAAAAAAAACCAUGACAAACAUGUAGGAAUUUGAAUUGCAUUGAUAUCUUUUGUUUAGUGCUGAAAAGAAGAUUUCUUGAAUUGGCAUUGUGAUAGAAAGUUGAAAGUGUCUGUUUUCUUUGCCAAUGUCUUACUCCUAAAUAUAUUUUAGUUAAUUGAUAUUUAUAUCAGGAACAUGAACUUCCCCC